rnacentral:rRNA from 1 species
UACGAAGGGGGCAAGCGUUGCUCGGAUUUAUUGGGCGUAAAGGGUGUGUAGGUGGCUCUAUAAGUUAGAUGUGAAAGCCCAAGGCUUAACCUUGGAAUUGCAUUUAAAACUGUAGAGCUUGAAGAUCACAGAGGUAAGCAGAAUUCCCAGUGUAGAGGUGAAAUUCGUAGAUAUUGGGAAGAAUACCAACGGCGUAGGCAGCUUACUGGGUGAUACUUGACACUGAGGCACGAAAGCGUGGGGAGCAAACAGG